GCCGCAUGGAACUCUGGGUAGGAGAGUGCAGGGAUAGGGAUAUAUAUAACUCUGGCCGACAUAUUGCGUCGUCAACACACCUGUUUUGUAUAUUUGUGUUACUGGUCAGUGUGUUAGACCAGCAGUGACCAGGUCAAGAUUAUUCCACGUAUCAUGGAUCAUACCCUAAUGUCUUGGAUCUACCCUGUGUAGUUGUGUAUAGUUCAUAGUGAGUGGAGUACCCGGAAAUGUCCUCGGAUGUAAUGGAGGUAGUAGAUCUAUACUAUCCUGACUCUUCCAGUAAACCAGCAACGUGUAUCAUUCGUCCCUAGUCGUUUUUAACAGUCAUUACUGUACAAUGUUAUGGACAUUACGGUGUUGACUACAAAUCAAAACAUUUGCUGUCGUUUGCCUCGUGGCGGGAGGGGAAUAUCAACCUUCCGCCAUAUUGCUUUCAUGAUAAUUAUUAUAUGCUCGAAAGUUUCUGUGCAGUCUUUAAUCCUCGAAAAAACACGAGGCCUUGUCGUCCCAGCAUCGUCACUACAGUCAUCGGAGCUGCUAUACCUGUGUCCCUGGAGAAAGGCCCAACGUGUACCCCUUGGGUUAUGAAGACUCCGUGAGGACCAACAGUGUUACAUUUAGAAAAGCUGAGAGAAGUGACGACUCAGUCUAAAACUGAAUACAGUUGCUGAAAAAACGGCGUCGGUUCGGUAGAAGGGCUUGAUGCGAGGGAGGGGCUUCCAGUGAGGUGAGGUCAAUAGGAGGAGGGUCUACAGAAGAGGUUAGGGAUGUGAGUG